UACGUAGGGUGCAAGCGUUUGUCCGGAAUUAUUGGGCGUAAAGAGCUCGUAGGCGGUUCGUCGCGUCGGCUGUGAAAACCUGAGGCUCAACCUCAGGCCUGCAGUCGAUACGGGCGGACUUGAGUACUGCAGGGGAGACUGGAAUUCCUGGUGUAGCGGUGAAAUGCGCAGAUAUCAGGAGGAACACCGGUGGCGAAGGCGGGUCUCUGGGCAGUAACUGACGCUGAGACGCGAAAGCGUGGGGAGCAAACAGG
rnacentral:rRNA from 1 species